GAUGAACGCUGGCGGCGUGCCUAAUACAUGCAAGUCGAGCGAACAGACGAGGAGCUUGCUCCUCUGACGUUAGCGGCGGACGGGUGAGUAACACGUGGAUAACCUACCUAUAAGACUGGGAUAACUUCGGGAAACCGGAGCUAAUACCGGAUAAUAUAUUGAACCGCAUGGUUCAAUAGUGAAAGACGGUUUUGCUGUCACUUAUAGAUGGAUCCGCGCCGCAUUAGCUAGUUGGUAAGGUAACGGCUUACCAAGGCGACGAUGCGUAGCCGACCUGAGAGGGUGAUCGGCCACACUAGAACUGAGACACGGUCCAGACUCCUAAGGGAGGCAGCAGUAGGGAAUCUUCCGCAAUGGGCGAAAGCCUGACGGAGCAACGCCGCGUGAGUGAUGAAGGUCUUCGGAUCGUAAAACUCUGUUAUUAGGGAAGAACAAAUGUGUAAGUAACUAUGCACGUCUUGACGGUACCUAAUCAGAAAGCCACGGCUAACUACGUG
rnacentral:rRNA from 1 species